GACGAACGCUGGCGGCGUGCUUAACACAUGCAAGUCGAACGGAAAGGCCCUGCUUUUGUGGGGUGCUCGAGUGGCGAACGGGUGAGUAACACGUGAGUAACCUGCCCUUGACUUUGGGAUAACUUCAGGAAACUGGGGCUAAUACCGGAUAGGAGCUCCUGCUGCAUGGUGGGGGUUGGAAAGUUUCGGCGGUUGGGGAUGGACUCGCGGCUUAUCAGCUUGUUGGUGGGGUAGUGGCUUACCAAGGCUUUGACGGGUAGCCGGCCUGAGAGGGUGACCGGCCACAUUGGGACUGAGAUACGGCCCAGACUACUACGGGAGGCAGCAGUGGGGAAUAUUGCACAAUGGGCGGAAGUCUGAUGCAGCAACGCCGCGUGCGGGAUGACGGCCUUCGGGUUGUAAACCGCUUUCGCCUGUGACGAAGCGUGAGUGACGGUAAUGGGUAAAGAAGCACCGGCUAACUACGUG
rnacentral:rRNA from 1 species